rnacentral:lncRNA from 1 species
CAGUAAAUACAUUUUUCCUGUAAAUUGAAUGCAAAAUCUUGUAAAAUCAUUGCAAAUUCCUGUAAAUUCAUUCAAUUAUUAUUAAUUCCUGUAAAUUCAUUCAAUAUUCAACAAAUAUUCAAUACAAAAACAACAUUCAACAAAUACAACAAAGACAUGGUAGUUUUAAUCCAGGCUCCAUCUUGUGGUUUGAAUAGAUUUCAGCAAAAUCUAAAAAACUUUUCAAUCCACUUUGAAAUUUCAUCGAGAUUGAACUUUCAAACAACCAUAAUUUGUCAAGCCCUUCUAUUUGAUCAG